UCGAGAAUCUUCCCCAAUGGACGAAAGUCUGAGGGAGCGGCGCCGCGUGAGGGAUGAAGGCCCUUUGGGUUGUAAACCUCUGUUAGGGGGAAAGAACAGCAGUGGGAGCAAUAUGUCCAUUGCCUGACGUUACCCCCAGAGAAAGCUCCGGCCAACUCCGUGCCAGCAGCCGCGGUAAUACGGGGGGAGCAAGCGUUGUCCGGAAUCAUUGGGCGUAAAGGGCGUGUAGGCGGUUUGGCAAGUCGAGUGUGAAAUCCCACGGCUCAACCGUGGAACUGCGCUCGAAACUGCCUUACUUGAGUGCGGGAGAGGUGUGCGGAAUUCCUGGUGUAGCGGUGGAAUGCGUAGAUAUCAGGAAGAACACCGGUGGCGAAGGCGGCACACUGGCCCAGCACUGACGCUGAGGCGCGAAAGCGUGGGGAGCGAACGG
rnacentral:rRNA from 1 species